rnacentral:rRNA from 1 species
AUCUACGGCCAUGCUACCCUGAAUAAGCCCAAUCCCAACUGAUCUCAGAAGCUAAGCAGGGUCGGUCCUGGUUAGUACUUGGAUGGGAGACCACCUAGGAAAACCAGGGAUUGUAAGCU